CUGGUGAGUAACACGUGAGUAAUCUGCCCUGCACUCUGGGAUAAGCCCGGGAAACUGGGUCUAAUACUGGAUAUGACCUUUCUCCUUAUGGGGUUUGGUGGAAAGUUUUUCGGUGUAGGAUGAGCCCGCGGCCUAUCAGCUUGUUGGUGGGGUGAUGGCCUACCAAGGCGACGACGGGUAGCCUGCCUGAGAGGGUGAUCGGCCACAUUGGGACUGAGAUACGGCCCAG
rnacentral:rRNA from 1 species